rnacentral:rRNA from 1 species
AGUGAACGCUGGCGGUAGGCCUAACACAUGCGAGUCGAACGGCAGCACAGUAAGAGCUUGCUCUUACGGGUGGCGAGUGGCGGACGGGUGAGGAAUACAUCGGAAUCUACUUUUUCGUGGGGGAUAACGUAGGGAAACUUACGCUAAUACCGCAUACGACCUACGGGUGAAAGCAGGGGAUCUUCGGACCUUGCGCGAUUGAAUGAGCCGAUGUCGGAUUAGCUAGUUGGCGGGGUAAAGGCCCACCAAGGCGACGAUCCGUAGCUGGUCUGAGAGGAUGGUCGGCCACACUAGAGCGGAGACACGGUCCAGACUCCUACGGGAGGCAGCAGUGGGGAAUAUUGGACAGUGGGCGCAAGCCUGAUCCAGCCAUACCGCGUGGGUGAAGAAGGCCUUCGGGUUGUAAAGCCCUUUUGUGGGGAAAGAAAAGCAGCAGGUUAAUACCCCGCUGUUCUGACGGUACCCAAAGAAGAAGCACCGGCUAACUACGUG